AAUACCCCGAACGUCCACAGCGAGCGAGAGGCCGCAAACUCCCGAGACCGUACGAACCAGACGAUUCACCAAUCACCAUGGCGGCGCCGGCGCGGCGCAGGUCCUGCAUCUCCUCCGGUGGAGCCGGAGCGCCUCCUUCCGCUGCUGCUUCGCCUCUUCUCCGCCCUCCGCCGCCCGCUGCGAGGCCGGUCCAAGGCCAUGCUCAAGGGGAUGGACUACUGACUACUCCGAACCCGAGAUAAGGACAUGAUUUAAGACAUGUGUGUGUUUCAAGUAGUUCGUUGAUUGGGUGCAGGCGCAGGGGUUUCGGCCAGGCCAGGCCUUGAUGCUGUGGAAAUGCCUGUACGGGAACAACGUUUGGGCUCAUUUUUACGACGAGCUGGCUGGAUGUUACAGAUACUGGUUUCUAUUGAAGAUGGUUCAGUGAUUUAAACAGUUAUCAUUCCUUGCACUAGGGGCAGGACAACUGUCUGUGUUUCAAAUGAAGUUGGUUGGGCCAUGAAAUGUCAGUUUUGCUUCACUAGAAGGGCAUGGGUCAACCAUUUCACAAUAUCGACAAUGUAAUAAAAGCCUCAGCAAUAAUGGUUCAUGAGCAAGGCCAUUUUAGCCCUCGCAAGGUUACUGUCUCCACAAGUGGUUUUGUCCCUCAGUUAGGAACCCAAUUGCUUGCUGCCGCCAGUCUUAAUGCAAGGACAGAUGAGGUUAGAAACUGGAUAAUGACUAUAAACAGAAAGGAGAACCUUAACUUGCUUCUUGGCACUUUAAGAGGUGAACUUAACCUCAGAAAAAAAAACAAAUAGUGCUAUCUGAAUAUGCCAUGCUUUCUGGAGUGAACGGCAGUGGAUGAUGCCAAAAGUCUUUUGUAGAGCUACUCCAAGGGAUCCCAUGCAAGCAAGAUAAACCUCAUCUCUUUGAGUUCCCUCGACGGUUCCCAAUCCAAGCCCACAUCAGACGAUAAAAUGAUUGAGUUCGGCAAACUUUUAAUUCAAGGUGGGCUCACUGUCUUUGUUCGGUCAGCAGAGGGGAUGAUCAGAUCAGAUGGCUGCCUGCGGGCAGCUCAGAGAGCCUGGAGACUACCAGCUGCCUCUGCACCGUGCACCUGAGAAAAUUUUGAGGUCGUCUUGUGAUGCUAGACAGUGCAUUACAGUAAACUGGUCCUGAGGCCUGAGAAAAUUUUGAGGUCGUUUUGUGAUGCUAGACAGUGCAUUACAGUAAACUUUAGCGUCGUCGAGACCGAAGUGGGC